GACGAACGCUGGCGGCGUGCCUAAUACAUGCAAGUAGAACGCUGAAGGAGGAGCUUGCUUCUCUGGAUGAGUUGCGAACGGGUGAGUAACGCGUAGGUAACCUGCCUGGUAGCGGGGGAUAACUAUUGGAAACGAUAGCUAAUACCGCAUAAGAGUAGAUGUCGCAUGACAUUUGCUUAAAAGGUGCAAUUGCAUCACUACCAGAUGGACCUGCGUUGUAUUAGCUAGUUGGUGAGGUAACGGCUCACCAAGGCAACGAUACAUAGCCGACCUGAGAGGGGGAUCGGCCACACUGGGACUGAGACACGGCCCAGACUCCUACGGGAGGCAGCAGUAGGGAAUCUUCGGCAAUGGACGGAAGUCUGACCGAGCAACGCCGCGUGAGUGAAGAAGGUUUUCGGAUCGUAAAGCUCUGUUGUAAGAGAAGAACGAGUGUGAGAGUGGAAAGUUCACACUGUGACGGUAUCUUACCAGAAAGGGACGGCUAACUACGUG
rnacentral:rRNA from 1 species